rnacentral:rRNA from 1 species
AUUGAACGCUGGCGGCGUGCUUAACACAUGCAAGUCGAUCGGUAACGCGGGGGCAACCCUGGCGACGAGAGGCGGACGGGUGAGGAACGCUUGGGAAUCUGCCCUUCAGCGGGGGACAACCCGGGGAAACUCGGGCUAAUACCGCAUACGCUCCACGGAGGAAAGCCGGGGACCGCAAGGCCUGGCACUGAAGGAUGAGCCCAAGUCGGAUUAGCUAGUUGGCGGGGUAACGGCCCACCAAGGCGACGAUCCGUAGCUGGUCUGAGAGGACGAUCAGCCACACUGGGACUGAGACACGGCCCAGACUCCUACGGGAGGCAGCAGUGGGGAAUAUUGGACAAUGGGGGAAACCCUGAUCCAGCGACGCCGCGUGGGUGAAGAAGGCCUGCGGGUUGUAAAGCCCUUUCGGUAGGGACGAAAGCUCUCGACCUAACACGUCGGGAGGUUGACUUAACCUACAAAAGAAGCACCGGCUAACUCUGUGCCAGCCGCCGCCGCGGUAA